rnacentral:rRNA from 1 species
ACGCUCGACACCUACGGGAGGCAGCAGUGGGGAAUAUUGCACAAUGGGGGAAACCCUGAUGCAGCGACGCCGCGUGGAGGAAGAAGGUCUUCGGAUUGUAAACUCCUGUUGUUGGGGAAAAAGAGGAUGGUACCCAACAAGGAAGUGACGGCUAACUACGUGACAGCAGCCGCGGUAAUCUGAGCGGGCUGGCAAGGC